rnacentral:rRNA from 1 species
CCGACCCAUUCGACAAAGCUCCACGCCCACACGGGAGAGGGGCGUGCGGCGUACGCGCAGCACGGUAAACGCCCUCGCACCCAUCGGUACGGGAGCUUUCGUGGAACCAGGUUAGGGUAGCGGGGCGUACGGUGUUGGGGAGGGAGGGAGAAGCUAGAGAGAGGGAGGAGUCGGCGGUGUUUGGGAUCGGGGGAAAGGAUGCUAGGUCGGCAGCGAUGGGGAGGAGGUAGGUUGGAGGUAGCAGUCGGCGGCGGCGGCGAUGCCGAGGAGGCAGGUGGCUGAGGCAGGCACGUCCACCGGUCAAAGGAAGGCGGAGCUGGAAGAGGUGCCAGAGGGGUCAAGUGGGGGGUAGGGAACGACGGGCUCCACGAGUAGAAGGGUCCAGCACUCCUUCGGCGCACCCCUACCUUGGUGGUGCAGCACGGCGACCCCCUUCGGAACCUAGGUGCGUCCCCCGGAGGGGCCCCCGCGUCUCCUCCCCAACACCUCCGCACUCCGGUCUUCCUGGGGAGAACGCAGCGAGCAGAGGUGGAGUAUAGGCCGUAGAAACGACGGCGGUAUCUAGCUCCUCCUGCCGUGCUACUGCUGGUACUACAUAGCCUGUAGGGUCUAACUGCUACGGUACCUUCGGUACUCUCGACCGGUUCCUUCUCCCCCGUCACAGCGUCCGGUACUUCCCGUGCCGCCGACGCCCGCCUUCGUCGUACCCAACUUCCUCGCCGCCUACACCCGCCCCAGCCUCCAACCCCCUCUGAGCAGCCGACCCGCUGUCGCUCGCGGCCACUCACGUUCGUACACAAAGGUUUUCGCAGUAGAGAAUGUUCCGUCCGUUCCUGCUGCAGCAGCGGGAGCGUCCAAGAUGCUAGACAGUGUAGAGACAAGAGGAGCAAUUCCAAAAACACCCACGAUAGUACCACAAACCAGACGACUAGUAAAAUUACAAGACUCUCCCCUCCGCCGGUUACUGUCCCUCUUCCUCCUCCGACAACUCCUCACGUUCGUCUUCCAAAGGCCACUGACCUUCAGACUUUGACUUCUGUCCCGUAUAACAAAACCAAUACUCACCAACCUUUAUAACACCGAACUACAGGGAUCUCGUCAGUCUGGGAAGGUUCUAUCCACAAUUUUAGGAUCCACGGUUCCCGUAACACCACCACGUUAGGUACAGAGGACGCUCGCGAGCCGUACCGCAGGUAUCGGGGUUUCUCGUUCCGAAGUUCCAAGAAAAGUAACUUACUGAACUAAACAAAGAGGAUACAACACGAGCUAAUGAUUGACUUUGACAUCGAGACGAUACAUAGUCCGACCUGUUGUUCGAAGUGAACUACUUUCGUAAAGGGAAGAUUUUAUCUCAUUACGACUCUAAUUACGUGUUCAAUCAGAACUAUGAUUCCACCAAUACCCUAACGAACUAGAUACGAUCCGGUUAUACAGUCGGUUGGUGAAUUUUUAUUAGUGAACGUAAAGAAGGAUACUUGAGACUUUGGACUGCUCACUGCUGCGUAUUUUUUAAUCGUUAUCUUCCACAGUCACUUGUGCUCAUGAGUCAGUUCUCGUUAUAUCGCCAUCUAUGAAAUGUCACAUUAAAAUAUAUUCUUAUUUAUUUACCGUGAAUUCAACAAUUCUUUAACAACAACCUCAUAACAGAGUGGGAAAUAGAUGAGAGAGCUUUUGACACCUAACGAUACCCGACCUCGAGGUCCCCUCCUCCCUCCAUUCGCACCUACGUUACCUAUAACAAGCCUAUUUUUCAACCCACCUUUGACUCAUCACUGCCACUCUGAAUAAGGUAAACAAAGAGGAAACGGGAAAAUUAGUUCUUGUUGCAAGUCUCGAACGUACCAACAGCUUUAUAUUAAGACAUUUUCUCUUUAUAACUAUAGUACGUUACUAGUUACGUCUCAUCCUAUCAAUAUCUCAAGAAGGAAUCAAAAGUAACUCGUUUCUAACCUAGACACGCUAAACAAGAUUAUGGUUCAUUUAGAACCAGACGUAUCAAAAAAAGGAUAUAAGAAAAUUUUUUUAACCCUGAACUACACUUUUUCCCACACACAACUGUACGUACAUUGGUUUAGUACCUAAUUACGCUCCAUGAUAUAUAUGAACGGAUAGAGAGACGUUUUCGAAUACCGGGAGAAACUAUGCUGAUCCUUGUAGUUUUGGUUUACCCUAAAUAAACUCACAUGAAGUCUACCGGUAUGAUAUUCACGUGGUAAUGAUUUAUCAUAUACUUAGAAGGAACAUAUUAAUUCUACGUGAAAGAUGUAUCGCGAAGAUAUAUAACUAUGACACACUAGUGAAUUGUAUUUAGACCGAUCCGCUAAACGAGCGGAUUAAGAGACCAACGUAUAUUAGGCUAGGACUAUCACUGUACUAAAUGAGACAAACUAGUUUGUCCAUCUUCGGUUUCGACAAAAUGCACUUAGAUUACUGCAGGGGCGACGAUAUUCGAUCCUCAAACUAUUUAAGUUGUAACCGUUAGACCAGAACACGAGAAGCAGGUUUUCGUAUAAGACUAUCACUCUAAGAAUAACACCUACAAAGUCGCAGUUGGACUUAAAACAAAUUGGAUGAUGUCUUUCUGGAAGAUCCCACUAAUCGACGUCAUGACACUGUUUAUUACUUUUUUUGAGUCACAGAAGAGUAAAUUAUAAGAUCGACGUUGAUGAACUGAUGUUCAAAAUACACCUUAAAAAGACAUGUCGAACGUGUUUGAGUCACUCUAGCCCUUAGUAGUAGAGUGUAAAAAAAGAGAACUUUCCAUCCACAGUAGAGGAUGUAAAAAAAGAGUCUUAAUUCGUACAAAGAUUCGGAACGAACUUUCAAAGAGUAAUAAUUGAAUUGUUGGUUGGACCUGCCGUUUUUAAAUGAAGUGAACCAUUGUCCCCAACCUGUGGCUUUCGAACGAUAGAUUAAAAGAAGAGACAUCUACUUUUGUUCAUGCGGAUAUCAACCUGUGACUUUCAAACGGUUUUAAUAAAAAUCUCGACAUAUCACAAAUGCAAUUACAUUUAGGAACGAGUACAAUGUGGAAAGAACAAGAAUACCUCUUUUUUAAUCGUAUAAUUGGUAAAGAUAUGAAAAAACAGGAAAAGAAAAUUAUGUCAUCACAGGUCCGAAUACCUAAGGAUAUAAAAAUAACAGUUAGAUCGUAUGAAUACAGUGAGGGGAGAACAAAAUCGACAACUACCUACUAAAAACGGUAAAUAGAAAUAAGGGUAAAAUAUAUAACACUAAUGACGAAGUAAUAAAUAGUUGACUCCGUACAACAACACGUGAAGAAUGACUACUACUAGGACCACAACAAACAAACUCUUUUCUUUCUCUGUUGAGCUACACGUAUAAAUAGGAAUAUAACAAGUUAAUAUUACCCUACUUCAUUGAAUUACUGACUAUCACAACAACCGUCACUAUCUGUUAUCCGUUAAAUGAUCUCGUCAAGUUCGUUCUUAUGAAGGUCUUAUGUAGAACACUAGACAACCAUUGUUGUGGUUCAAACGGUUGAACAAGUUGGUUUGUUUCACAUAUUGUACGAAGUAAAAACGUUCAUAUCUUCUUCCUUUUCUCUCGUAACCUAAAACUCAAUUGCUUUAUAUAAACGUUUUUUCUCUCAAUUACUUUAUAAGAGUUAGUUCUUUUGAGUUCCAGCCAAGUCAGUUGUCUUUUCUUAUUCCACUUUGGAGAACGCAAAAAAAUAAUCGCGUGUGUACCGAGAUUGUAAGCUAUCAACUAGAAAUAAAUAAGUGAGUUGCAACACAAUCGGUAUCUGGAGAGAGAGAGAGAGAGAGAGAGAGAGAGAGAGAGUUUGGUCGAAGAGUACGUUCUAGAAUAGGAUACGGUUCAAUAAGACACCCAUAGCAAAAUUUUAUAAAUAGAAACAACAAGGCGAAUCGAUGUGGUAGGAACUCACAAAAAAUACCUUAGAUCUUUUGUUUCACGAAACGAAGAAAGGAAUUAACCAAGUACCAAGGUCCACACGCAACCUGUCACAGUGACUCCCAGGUCAAAGAGUAAAAAGUCUAAAACAUCAUCGUCUCUACACAUCUAUUGACUUGACCACAAAUCCGCAAAGUCACGUCCUGACGAUGAACGAGCUAAUCAAUCUACUUGACCACAAAUCUCUAAAGUCACGUCUCACUACAAAGUCAAAACUAACGUCCCGAAGCUCUACGUGGCACUCCCGACUUUGCUCAGAAUAUGGCCCAGAAAGUACUUAAAUCAAUCGGAUUUAUGAAGGUCUUAGGGAGAACGUUAUACAUUUUCUUCCUUUUAUCUUGUAACCUCCUUUUCGGUCGUCUCACCUAAGAAAUUCGAAAGAGUUUACAAACUUGUUCCUUUUCUAUCAAUGUUAGUAAAAAGAGAGCGGAACAAUGUAGAACUACAAUUAUCCGAAACCUUCCAUGAUACGUGGGGCAAGUUCCAAAUGUCUUAAACGUGCUAGGAUAAUGUCAAACAAGACUACUGUCUUAACUGAUCAAGAAGGAACUCCUUUAAUUAUAAAGUCGACGAUGAGGAAACACGUAACAAUGUAUCUCAAUAUCAACACUUCUACACAUGCGUAGUUGUAUAUUAAGGGUGGUAGGAUAAUGUCAAACCAGACUGCUGCUUUAGCUCGUCGAGAAUGAACUCAUUUAACAUGUCGAGAAGGAACUCAUUUAAUCAUAACGCCAAUGAUUCGGAAACACGUAAGACUAUGUCGAGAGGACUUUAUGAUGAAUACGAGAAAUUUGGGUUUCGACUGAAAUGUAGUAAAAACAAGAGUAGGCAAGAGGGCUUAAAAUCAGGCG